CUCUUUCUACUAAAAGUGAAUGAUCUUCCUAUAUAUUUUUUCAAAAAAAAAAAUUCAACAAAUUCCCCAGCAGGUAAUCUCCUACCAUAACUUUACACCAACCUACCUACCGUUGUAUCAGCGGGAAGGGAGAUCCCACCAUUCAUUGAGCGAAAACGAAAAAGCACAAAGAAGUGCAGAUUCAAUUUCUUGGGGAGAAGUUAUAACCACCACAAAAUCAUUACAUAACUUUUGAUUUUACAAAGCCCCCAGCAAAUGAUGAAUCCUUUUGAGCAUAGAUGCUCGCUACAUUUUAUGGGGUCCCCAUAAGAUCAAAUGCAUCACUCUCUCAACCCUUUCCUCUUCUCUCCACCUGCCAGCUUCAUUUGCCCUUUCCCUCUCUAGACCACCGUCACCAUUUGAGAAAGCUCCAGACUUCGUUGAAUAACCAGAGUCUGCCUUUCUUGAAGCUGGCUUCCAUGACUUGAGGUAGGUCACAUCCCAUUUGGGUGCCUGCUCCCUCACCCCCUGUGUUGCUCUCACUCCUGCUGCAUAUAAGAUCCUACCCAUUUCCCUCAAACUCAUUUUCUUUCUCUCUCUAAAAUUGGGAAUGAAAUUAAAUGGUUCCACCCUUAAGAUGAAGACAGCCUAAAGCACUAAAAACUUGUACAUUUCCAAUGUUGAAA
rnacentral:lncRNA from 1 species